rnacentral:tRNA from 2 species
GCCCCCAUCGUCUAGAGGCCUAGGACACUGGCCUUUCAAGCCGGUAACAGCGAUUCGAAUUCGCUUGGGGGCACCA